rnacentral:tmRNA from 1 species
CCGCUUGCAGUCCCCCCGCCGCCUUCCUAUAUUCGAACCGUUCGGGUUCGCCCGGACUAUGGGCAUAAACGCGCUCGUAAUAAACGGAUCGGACCCGGGGGCGGUACCNNNNNNNNNNAAUCCCUCGUUGGGGGCGAAUGGGGCCGAAACAGGAUCGACGAACGUCUAAAGGGGUUAUGCUUUGCCUCGGUGAGCUACCACCGUUAUCGGUGCAAAAGUACAGUUGCCAACGACAACCGUGCUCCGGUCGCUCUGGCUGCGUAAGCAGCUCGGGUAACCGAAA